GGACACCAAAGGGAUUUUAGGUCAGAGUCUGAUACAAACCUUGUUGAGUAACAUGGCAUACAAAGUGCAGCAUGACAGUCAGGACUGGAUCUAAGGGGGGGGCAUUACAGAGCUAGUAGAAAUGUCGCCACCCCUGUUGCCACUGUAUAUAAAAAUCAGGAACAUGAAAUAUGCAUCAGACAUUUUUGAGAUAUAUGAGUAGAGAUUGUGCCUCCUGCCUGCUCCCUCUCAGGUGCACAGGUGCUGUCUGUACAAGAAAAACCUGGACAGACUCUACCUUCUGAAGAAGUUCAGGUCCUUGAUGUGUGUAGGAAGCAGCCGAGGAUGUCUUACCCGCCCACAGUGGCCAGCACUUUGCUACCUGACAAAACCCAUCAGGAGACCAGCUCCAUCACAGGACUGACCCUGGACCCAGUGGGGGCAGUUACAGAGAAACAGAUGCUGGAAAAAUUGGAGCGUAUCAUGACCAAUUCUGGACAUGCCCUCCAGGGGGCGCUCUCCUGGCCAGCAGCUCAUUCCACCACAGUGUGCCAAGAAGCUCUACUGAGGAUCCUUCCUACCUGCUGACACCAGAUAUCCCACAUUUCCUGGAAGUUCUUCUGCAAAUUCACAGCAGUUCCCUGACCCUUGCGAACGAUGCACAGUGUCCUAGAAAUAUGUCUUUGCGUUAUUCAGCGACGGUAAGCGGGGCUCUUAUUGAAUGAACAUAAAGCGGUAUACAGUAUGACCAUAUUACCGCCCAACCAUAGCUAGCACACCCAUCCACCACCACCUCCUAAUCCGCCUUCCCCAAAUCAAUAUGACUAAGGUGGGAUGUCUGCAAGUGGGUGUACAAAAUGAAUGGAUGGACAGAUGGAUGAAUGAAUUGAUGGAUGUCUUUAAUAACUGAUAGUAAAUAGUUCAAUAGCUACAAUAAUAGAUGCUCUUUAGUCCUACUGGUGUUCUCAGUUUUCCUGCUUGGUAGAGUGGUUACAAACAGGAAGUAGAUUUGCAAGUUUGUGCUGCCUGACUGCAUUAAACAGCAGCUGCGUGAAUUUCAGAGAGGAUUAAAGAGGGACAGUCGAGUCAGUUUAGAGUCACUGGUGCGCAGAUACGAUGACUUUACUGGGACUGUUCCUCUGGACACUGGCCCUGUCUGUUCAAGGCUCCGGGGCUCAAAUCAUCCUGACUCAGAGUCCAGCAGUGGAAUUGGUCGCUGUAGGAGACACUGUCACUCUGAACUGCCAAUCCAGCAGCUCUGAAUUUCAGAGCAGCUUAGCCUGGUAUCUGCAGAAACCUGGAGAAAGUCCCAAACUUCUCUUCUACUCAGUGGGUAGCAAGGUGUCUGGGGUUCCAGGCCGUUUCUCCGAUAGCCGUGAUGGCACAAAUUUCAGGCUGAAAAUCAGUGGAGUGCAGGCUGAAGAUGCAGGAGAUUAUUACUGUCAGCAGUAUUAUGGCUUUCCGUACACACAGUGACACAGGCCAGUACAAAAACCUCACUCAGCUGUGCAUAUGCUUAGUCUAGGAAAACAACUACCAAAAUCAGCAGAUUGUUCAAGAUAGAUCCAGACUACAGUACUUUACUGGAUUCUGAUGAUCUUUUAUACCCUGAGACCCUGUACUGGAUGUGCAGGGUUGAAGUGAACCGGGAGCCUGUACCAGGAAAUACAGGACAUGUGGCCGGGAUCCCUGGAAAAUGUCACUCCAUAGCAGUGCACAGACACUCACUAAGAGCAAUUUAGAGACACCAGUUCAGCUAACUACAUGUUUUUGGAUUUCUGAACUUUUGGAAGAAGUGCAGAAAAUAUGGGACCAGUGACCUUACCAAGAACUGGACGUCCCCAAGACGAAAUCUGGUCAGUGAGGCUGCCAAGAGGCCUACAGCAACACUGAAGGAGCAUCUGGACUAUGGGGUAGGGUGGCAAAAUGGAACUGUUUUCUUACAACAAAACACAUUAAGGCCUGGCUAGAUUUUGAAAAUAAAUAAAUAAAUAAAUAAACCAUCCUCUCCCAAAAGCAUGUGGGAAAACGUGUUAUGGUCUGAUGAAACCAAGGUAGAACUUUUUAGCCACAGUUCCAAAAUGUAUGUUUGACGCAAAAACACUGCGCAUCACCAAAAGUGCCCCACACCCACGGUGAAGUCCGCUGGGGGCAGCAUCCUGCUUUGGGGUUGUUUUCUUCAGCUGGAACUGAGGCUUUAGUCCAGGUGGAGGGAAUUAUGUACAGUUUCAAAUACCAGUGGAUUUUGGCUCGAAACCUUCAGGUGUGUGCUAGGAAGCUGAUGAUGAAGCAUGACAAUGAUCCCCCAGCAUACAUCCAAAUCAGCAAAAGAAUGGCUUUACCAGAAGAAAAUUAAAGCUUUGGAACGGCUCAAUCAGAGCCCAGAGCUAAAUCCAACUGAAAAUCUGUGGGGUGACCUGAAGAGGGCUGUACACAGGAGAUGCCCUCAGAACCUCAGAUGGGUGUGCAAAUAUCGCCAAGUCCAGAUAUGGCAUGCUGAUAGACUCCUACCCAAAAAGGCUGAACGCUGUAAUUAAAUCAAAAGGUGCUUCAACAAUGUAUUAGUUUAAAGCUGUGGCCGCUUAUGCAACCAGCUUAUUGUAUGUUUUUUAUUUUUUACAUUUAUCCUCCUAACAGAUUUAUUUGUUUUUUUCAAUUGAAAUGUACAGGUUAUAGGUCACAAUAAAGGUGGGAAAAGUUUUUAAAUGAUUUAUCAUGGUUUCAGUUUUUACAUCACAAAAGCCUGGCAAUUUAACAGGGGUGUGUACACUUUUUAUAUCCAGUGCAUAAUUAUUAAAAAGGUCCCAUUUCUCUUUGCAAACCUGA